GGAAAGGUGAAAAGAACCCCGAACAGGGGAGUGAAAUAGAACCUGAAACCAUACGCUUACAACCGGUCGGAGCAGCUUCGUGCUGUGACGGCGUGCCUAUUGAAUAAUGAGCCUACGAGUUACUAAUCACUAGCGAGGUUAAGUGCAAGGAUGCACGGAGCCGAAGCGAAAGCGAGUCUGAACAGGGCGUUUAGUUAGUGGUUGUAGACGCGAAACCUUGCGAUCUACCCUUGAGCAGGUUGAAGGUUGGGUAAAACCAACUGGAGGACCGAACGAAUAAGCGUUGAAAAGCUUCUCGAUGACUUGAGGGUAGGGGUGAAAGGCUAAUCAAGCUGGGAAAUAGCUCGUACUCCCCGAAAUGCCUUUUGGGGCAGCGUUGUAAUAAAGAGUCUACUGGAGGUAGAGCUACUGAUUGGAUGCGGGGGCUUCACCGCCUACCAAAUCCUGACAAACUCCGAAUGCCAGUAGUAUGAUUUACAGCAGUGAGUGACUGGGUGCUAAUGUCCAGUCGCAAAAGAGGAACAACUCAGACCAGCAACUAAGGUCCCGAAGAAUAUGCUAAGUUGAUCUAACGAUGUUUUGUUGCAGAGACAGCUAGGAUGUUAGCUUGGAAGCAGCUAUUCAUUCAAAGAGUGCGUAACAGCUCACUAGUCGAGCGACAGAGCGUGGAUAAUAAACGGGCAUCAAGCAUAUCACCGAAGUUCUGGGCGCGAGAGCGCGGUAGGGGAGCAUUCCAUUCAGCGUCGAAGCAGUUUCGUGAGGAAUUGUGGAGCGUAUGGAAAAGCAAAUGUAGGCAUGAGUAACGAUAAUGCGGGAGAGUAACCCGCACACCGCAAGACCAAGGUUUCCUGAUCAACGCUAAUCGGAUCAGGGUUAGUCGGGUCCUAAGGGUAAGCCGAACGGCGAUCUCGAUGGAUAAUCGGUUAAUAUUCCGAUACUAACAUAUACCUCGAUGGAGAGACGAAGGAACGUAAGUGCCGCCACCUGACGGAAUAGGUGGUUAAAGGGCGUAGGUAUAGGGGCAGAUUAAGAGUUAGUCCUUGCUGAAACCUGACAGUACAGAGAGCCUACGGGCAAUUUGAUAGAGCACCCAAGUCGACUUCCGAGAAAAUCUUCUAAGUUAUAGUAUAUGUUACCCGUACCGUAAACCGACACAGGUGGUCGAGGAGAGUAUCCUAAGGUGCUCGAGUGAAUCACGGUUAAGGAACUAGGCAAAUUAACCCCGUAACUUCGGGAAAAGGGGUCCCUAUGAAAGUAGGGCGCAGCGAAGAGGUCCAGGCGACUGUUUAUCAAAAACACAGGGCUCUGCAAAUUCGAAAGAAGACGUAUAGGGCCUGACACCUGCCCGGUGCUGGAAGGUUAAGAGGGGAUGUCAUCGCAAGAGAAGCAUUGAAUCGAAGCCCCAGUAAACGGCGGCCGUAACUAUAACGGUCCUAAGGUAGCGAAAUUCCUUGUCGGGUAAGUUCCGACCUGCACGAAUGGUGUAACGAUCUGGACACUGUCUCAACCGUGAGCUCGGUGAAAUUGUAGUCCCGGUGAUGAUGCCGGGUACCCGCAACGGGACGAAAAGACCCCGUGAACCUUUACUAUAGCUUAACGCUGAAUUUGGGUACACAAUGUGUAGGAUAGGCCGGAGGCUUUGAAGCGGGCACGCCAGUGUUCGUGGAGCCGACGUUGAAAUACGGCCCUUUGUGUAUUUGAGUUCUAACCCUGCGAAGGGGACACCGUUUGGUGGGUAGUUUGACUGGGGUGGUCGCCUCCAAAAGCGUAACGGAGGCUUCCCAAGGUACCCUCAGCACGAAUGGUAACCGUGCGCGGAGUGCAAUAGCAUAAGGGUGCUUGACUGUGAGACAUACAAGUCGACCAGGUACGAAAGUAGGGUAUAGUGAUCCGGUGGUUCUGCGUGGACUGGCCAUCGCUCAAAGGAUAAAAGGUACUCCGGGGAUAACAGGCUGAUCGCCGCCAAGAGCUCAUAUCGACGCGGCGGUUUGGCACCUCGAUGUCGGCUCGUCACAUCCUGGGGCUGGAGAAGGUCCCAAG
rnacentral:rRNA from 1 species